GGGGGAUUAGCUCAGCUGGUAGAGCGCUUGCCUUGCACGCAAGAGGUCAGGAGUUCGACUCUCCUAUUCUCCACCA
rnacentral:tRNA from 1 species